AGAGUUUGAUCAUGGCUCAGGACGAACGCUGGCGGCGUGCUUAACACAUGCAAGUCGAGCGGAAAGGCCCACUUGUGGGUACUCGAGCGGCGAACGGGUGAGUAUCACGUGAGUAAUCUGCCCCCUACUUUUGGAUAACCCUCGGAAACGGGGGCUAAUACGGAAUAUUCAGCAUCUCCUGCAUGGGUGGUGUUGGAAAGAUUUGUUGGUGGGGGAUGAGCUCGCGGCCUAUCAGCUUGAUGGUGGGGUAAUGGCCUACCAUGGCUUUGACGGGUAGCCGGCCUGAGAGGGUGUCCGGCCACACUGGGACUGAGACACGGCCCAGACUCCUACGGGAGGCAGCAGUGGGGAAUAUUGGACAAUGGGCGGAAGCCUGAUCCAGCAACGCCGCGUGAGGGAUGACGGCCUUCGGGUUGUAAACCUCUUUCGCCUGUGACGAAGCUCCCAGUUUUUGUUGGGGGUGACGGUAGUGGGUAAAGAG
rnacentral:rRNA from 1 species